rnacentral:pre_miRNA from 1 species
AGUAGCAGGUAGACUUGUCACGUUUCUAAGUACUGCCACAGGAUGACAAAGUAGAAGGUAGACUUGUCACUCUACUGCUACUUUGUCAUCCUGUGGCAGUACUUAGAAAUGUGACAAGUCUACCUGCUAC